rnacentral:tRNA from 1 species
GCGGGGGUGGUGAAAUUGGUAGACGCGCCGGACUCAAAAUCCGGUUCUGCAAGGAGUGUCGGUUCGAGUCCGACCGCCCGCA